AGCGAACGCUGGCGGCAGGCCUAACACAUGCAAGUCGAGCGCCGUAGCAAUACGGAGCGGCAGACGGGAGAGGAACACGUGGGAACGUGCCCUUUGGUUCGGAACAACCCAGGGAAACUUGGGCUAAUACCGGAUAAGCCCUUACGGGGACAGAUUUAUCGCGGAAGGAUCGGCCGGCGUCUGAUUAGCUAGUUGGUGGGGUAAUGGCCCACCAAGGCGACGAUCAGUAGCUGGUCUGAGAGGAUGAGCAGCCUCACUGGGACUGAGACACGGCCCAGACUCCUACGGGAGGCAGCAGUGGGGAAUAUUGGACAAUGGGCGGAAGGCUGAUCCAGCCAUGCCGCGUGGGUGAUGAAGGCCCUAGAGUUGUAAAGCCCUUUCGGCGGGGAAGAUAAUGACGGUACCCGCAGAAGAAGCUCCGGCUAACUUCGUGCCAGCCGCCGCAGUAA
rnacentral:rRNA from 1 species